CUGAUCAUUGACCCAUGUGAUCGAUUAUCUUUGAUACAAUGGAUAGUACCCUGGUACAAACACCAUAUCAUAAUAUUACAUAGUCAAUCGGUGUGUUUGGAAAUAUUUGGUAGAGUGGAAACUUUCAUACACUUGUUGUAUGUUUAUUUCAUAUUUGACAUUUGGAACACGAACUAGGCAAAGCAAUAGGCCGAAUCUGGAUAAGAUUUUAUCAAUCGGCCAGUGUAGACAAAUUUGGAGUGUGUAAAAACCCGUUUACUGGUAUAAUUUGUGAAUUAAAUUGGAUACACCUAGCCAAAGAAAGAUUUUCGAGGAUAAGACAGAAUUAAAAAAAAAAAUGUUUCGUGUGACAUUCAGGACGCAACAUUUAAAAUACAUUUGAUUUAGAUCUAUUUUCACUUAAUGAGAUUCUGAAGUUUCAAUUAAUGAGUUGACCUUUAAGGAAAGGAUUUGCCAUAGGCCUAUCUGGUAGUAGUUAUUAAAAACACGAAAAGGUAUACUUCAUUGUUAAAAUUACCAAGGAUUAGACUGAGAGUGGAAUUAGUGAAGAUGUCGAGGAAGAAUUCAGUAGCAAGUUGUACCAGUUUAGGAGACAGAGAAUAUAAAACAAAUUAUGAAGGUUCUCCGACAGACUGGAUAACGGGGAUAGCACCGAUAGAGAGCGAUAAAGACAUAGAAGAAAGAAUGGCAUCCCCCAGCAGUUCAAAUGAAAAUAAAUCGGGAUGGAAAUCUUUCGUUGACGCAGCCGAUGAGUUUACCAACGACACCAGGAAAUUAUAUAAGUUUAUCAAACGACGCG